UUCAACCGAAGGUCACGGAGAUCAUUAUUCAUUACAUAAAAUUGGUAAAACUUUCAUGCAGUGGUGUAGAGGUUGGGUGAGGACGACACGUGUUGCAACAUUAUCAAGUAGGUCUACAAUUGCCGCAAGGCUUGAGUUGAGAAGUAAGGGUGAGAAAAAGUCGUAUAAAGCGAGAGAGAAAAGGCCACAGUGAUCAGUUGAGUUAGCGUCUCCGACACGGGAACAACUGUAGCACUAUUGGUCUCCAACUGCCUUCUUCAUCGCAUUAUCAGUUCGCAAUCAUGGUUAACUAUGGCACCGUGCUCCUUUUGGGUGUUGGAUCGUUGAUGGCUGGUGCGACCACUGGUGUAUCGAUGUCUCCUGCGAACGGUUGAUAAGAAGCUUCCGCAGCAAAAGAAUACUACACCGACUUACUGCUGCCGACUUACUAUAAAACAACAUUAACUCUUCCUAUACCGAAGACCCCAAGUAUUACAACACCAAGUCUCCUGAGUAUUAAACUUCAACCUACGAUGUUCUAUCUUAGGAAACAUAGUUAUCUGUGGGUUAUGCUGCUGUUGGGUGUUGAUGGCUGAGGCGACCACGGGAGUACCGAUGUCUUCUGGGUAUGGCGGAUACGAAACCGCAACGCCGGCGUUUUACUAAACAACAACAAACGCAACAACUGGAUACUACACCACCAAGACCCCUGAGUAUUAUACCACAACUUGUGAUGUCCCGAACUACUACACCAAAGCCUCAAAGUAUAAUUCUGCCCCGAAUACUACACCACGAAGGGAGCGGAGUACUACACCACGAAGGGAGCGGAGUACUACACCACGAAGGGAGCGGAGUACUACACCACGAAGGGAGCGGAGUACUACAC